UGAUAAACUAUUGAUUUUCUUUGUGAUUUAGACUCGAGACUGUUCCAAGAGAUUUCUAUGAAAAGGCUCCAUAACUAAGUUCUGCCUAAUACAUCAGCUCAGGUGCAUAUUUCUUCCCAGUACUUCAAAGCAAUCUGCUGAACUGGCUGGACUUUCCCUGGAGGGAUAAAGUACAGGGCAAGCUCCACUUGAAAGCUAUUCUACAUUUCCCUUUCCCUCAGACCUUAAAAGGCUUCUGUGUCCUUUUUUUGGAAGAUCCUCAUGGAAAAAGGAAGGAUGCCCGAUUAUCACCUGUAGAAACAAAUAGUUUUGAGUCUCCAGAGAACGUGAGGCCAUGCUUUCAGUGAUGUAUUUCAAGUGCUUAGGUUCACUGUACCUGAUCUUGUUCACAAGGAGGAUUGAAGACACCAUGCAAUGUCUGGGACAUCAUCUCUGUUGAUUCUCAGAAGCGCAUUAUAUGGAGCAACUCUUUGCUCACCUUUUUCCACAGUAUCUGAGAAGCUGUUUGAUUGUUCCACGUACUGAGCUGAUAACUGCAGCUUCCAGAGAAAUAAAAGGUGUGUGAAUAGUUCCCUUACUGAAAAC
rnacentral:lncRNA from 1 species